rnacentral:rRNA from 1 species
GAUGAACGCUAGCGGGAGGCUUAACACAUGCAAGUCGAGGGGUAAAGAGUAGUAAUACUUUGAGACCGGCGGACGGGUGCGUAACGCGUAUGCAACAUACCUUGUGCAGGGGGAUAGCCCGUGGAAACGCGGAUUAAUAUUCCAUAGAUCAGUAACAUCGCAUGGUGUAACUGGUAAAGUUGAGGCGGCACAAGAUUGGCAUGCGUCUGAUUAGCUAGUUGGUAGGGUAACGGCCUACCAAGGCGACGAUCAGUAGGGGUUCUGAGAGGAUUAACCCCCACACUGGUACUGAGACACGGACCAGACUCCUACGGGUGGCAG